AGCUGCUUUCCAGUGCAUUAAAAAAGUAUGGCUAUGUCCAAGAAAGUCUGUUGUGGCCCAGGAUUUGUCCCUUGUUUUGGGCUGUUUGUUUUCCAGAAAUAACUUAAAAUAUUUUUGCGUAUUUUGAGCACAGAUGUUUUCCCAAACUUUCUCUGGCUAUAUGGAUUUCUUGUGACUGAUUUCUUUAACUUGAAUGGAGUAACACAAAAAUCCAGCAUAGAAGAUACUGGAACAUGCAUGUAAAUUGAAAUCAGACUUGAUUAAAGACAUAUAUAUUGUGAAAAUGAAAGGUAAAUCAUUCUUGCACUGCAUAGCUAGCAAUCAGAAAAGCAAGAUAUUGCCAUCUUAUUGCAAAAGCUCCAUACCUUUUUGGUGAUUUCUCAUGGGCAGCUCCUCACAGUACUAACACCUUCUUCUUCCUCACAGCACAGCAAACAAACCCUGACUAACGUCUCAACCAGACAACCUACUCUUUUAUAAAACCCAUCCUAUUUGGACCUAGCUGUGGCCUAUUAAGGGCAGGCCUGUUCCUAAUUCUUAGUACUUAGUGCAGCUGUAACUCCUUAGGGGUGAAAUUACCUUCAUCACUAUCUCUAUUCUCCUACAUUCCAUCCAUCUGCAGGAAGAUGGAGCUGCUUAUCCUUUUUAAUUCAGUCUUUGACAGCUGGGCAAAAAAGAUCAAUCAUAUUAACUGACUGUUGGCAGUAAAUCUAAGGUAGAAGAGGACUGAUUAAUGGCAGUGCACAGAAAAAAAUGCUGUCACUAUUGAACGUCACCACUGAAGAUGAAUGCAGAAGAGCAAAUUGCAGCACAGAAUCUGAGAGCUGUGAGGACAUCUAAGGAACUAGUGCUUCUGCAUUCCUGAUUCACAUUGGUACUGCUUUGUGCUGUCCCUCCUUCCACCAUCUCAGCUGGAGGCCAGAGUCAGGAGGUGGCACAAGCAAUACAGCAGUGACUAUGGCAGCCCCCAUGGCUGGUGGAGGACUCGUUGUCCCUUGUCUCUCAGCUAUUUCAAACUGAAGUGAUUGACUUGGCAAGGAGGCCAGGAACCCAAGGAAAAUGGCUAGUCCUUUGCUGGGCUUUUGGCCCAAACUGUCAGUUAGCAUCUUCCAAACUACUGAGUAAUCUUGGGAGCUGGUAUCCUCGAGUGCUCUAAAUGAAAGAGGAAUUCCUUCAGGGGAAUGUACAUUUUGCAAUUAGACACUGAGGUAAGACUCCUUUUGUUUCCUUUUACCUAUCACUUAAUUUGCAAGCACAAUGAAGAUAAAACAAGUGGAGCCAGUUACCCAAGUCUGUUGUGCACUUGUGUAUGUAAUCCCUUUCUCACUUCAGUCCAUAGUCACUUUUUCUGCUCAAACCACUACAAGAAAAAUCCUAUUAUUGACUUUACUGUCUUAAGUAUUGAAGAAGAGUUGGAGUAGUGCUUUUUUCAGUCUUUGUGUUCUUGAACACUUGUAACAUGUGAAAAUGCUCAGGUCAAAGAUAAUUCUGAUGUUGCUUCCACCUGAAAUUCCUUUCCUUCUCUCUACCACACAUGUAUUUCAUUCCUAGGUAGAUUUGCACGUAUUUUCUGUCACUUCAGGAGAGGUCAUGAACAGUCAAAUGUCAGCUGAAUGUCAGAGAAAUGGCUCGUAUAAUGAAAUCUAUUAAGGUGUCCAAUAGCCCUGUGCAAAAGAGAAGAUAAUCUUGCUUUGUGACCUUUAGGACAAAUUAAACAAAACAAUAAAACACACAGAAAGCAAUGCCCUUCAUGAGGUUGAAGCAGAUGGCCAAGUAUGGGUAGAUGUUUUUGGCUUUAUUGUUGUUUAUGUUUUUCUUUUGCUUUUUAAAUAUUUUACAGUGAUUAUUACUUCAAGUGCUUAUUUUUGUCAUACUUCUGAAUGUUAGUAGGCAAACCCAACUUUUUCAUUCUUUUGAUCCUUUGUUUUUUAUUUAUGAUCAACCUAUUUUUGUGACUAGUCGUGGAGAUAUUUGCUGUUUCUUUAUUCACUGAUUUAGAGUCUAGAAGAAACCAUUAGGAUUGUCUCAUCUGACUUCCUGUACAAACCAGACCAGGGUACUGAACUCCAUAAUUCCAGCAUAGAUUCUUAUUGAGAUAAGAAACACAGCUUUCAAAAUGACAUUACAUUUUGUUUCAAGACUUCGAGUGACAAAAACUCCCUAUAUUAACUACAGUCUUUUGGCUACACGUAGAGGACUGUUUGAAAGAAGUGUACUUCCAAAAAAGAAUGGAUUGACUUUCACUGAAGAACUCAUCAAUUAAGAAAAAAAUACUUAUACCUGAAAUAAAGGUAGUUUUCUUACCUCUGCCAGAUGAAUUCCUAGCUGGAGAGUGGUGCCUCUUUAUGCUUUUAGAUGAGGGGACAGUUCUAUUGAAAUAGGUCAAGGACAUUUAAAGUGUCUAAUAAUCAAUUACAUAAACUUAAAUCACCUCUGACCUCAGCUGCAGAGAUACUCCACCAUUUGAUUAGGCUAUUGUGCUUUGUGAAUAGCUUUAUUUUUUUCCAGAGUUUUGUUGUUAGUUUUGGUUUUUUGUUAUGCUUUCAUUCCAUUUGGUGAUGAACAAGCACACUGUGUGGGGUUGUUUCUGAGCUCUACAAAUAUGGUAGUGCUUUGUUACUUUUCCUUACACAAGGCCACAGUGACGUUAAAGCUGGAGAGAAGUACUAUUCCUAAACAUUGGGGUACAUGAAUCACAGAUAUUUAAAACUUUAGUGAGCCAGCUGUUCAACACAACCCAUCAACUGGAGAGACCAGAGAGGUUUUCAGCAGCAUGGCCAGCACGUGCUGGAGUGGCAUGAUUUUUUUUUCUGUGAGCUUUCCCAGAACUGCUGAUAUAUUCCAGUAAAAGCCUCUCAUGACUCCUAUUCAGUUUUAUGAAAUCUCAUGUAGCUAAGCUCCUGAGCAGUGCUGCUUUGGCUAUCUAAUGGCUUGCUACUGAUUCAGUUCUUUUGGAUCGUGCACAGAGCAAUACUGGCUGACAACUGCUGUCACCACAGGUAAACAAAAAGAAUCCCUGUAAUCCAAAUUAGAGGAAAAUUAUGCUGAUAGUAAAAUCUUCUUGGCUGUUUUACAGAUUUUCAGGGACGUCAUGAGAAUCAUAAAAUAAUAGAUAUUUCAGAAUUGGAAUUAAGGAGAAAUAAAUAUAAUUGAUCACUUAAAAGAUGCAUGUUCUGUUCGCAGCUCUGGCAGUGAUCUAUUAUUACCUUUAGAAAGGAUUUUUCAUCAUUUUUCUCUUGCUUACUGCUGUCGGUUAAAAGGCUGAGCCUUUUGGGAUUGGAGCCCCCUCAAUGUUCUGCUGUUUGAUCACACCCACUCUUUUUCUUUUGUGUCUUCUAUGCUCUUCCAGUAAACAAUGCUAACAGGAAGCUCCAAGACUGUAGAGACACACAGGUCUGUACUUUUUUGCAAUUGAUUUUUUUUCAGGUGUUAUUAUCAUCACAAGACAGAGCCAAUGGAUCCAAAGCUGUGUUGAAGGCUGAUCCUUGGUGACUCACUGCAAUAAGGGAUGCUUAUUUCUAUUUGUUAGUUAGCUAUUCCAGGGGGAAAAAACCAAAGCUACUUAAGUUUUUAAACCUAUUAUGUGGUAUUCCAAAAGGUCAAGUUGCUGUUCUUUUAAAAUACAAUUUAAUUGAAAAUGGACAGUAGCCUGGAUCUUCUUGAGGCCUAAUGAAGUAGAUUAUUGAUAUGCACCAUGUGUUCCUGAUUAAAAUCAGAAGGCUAGGAAUGUUCAGCCAAUUAUGCAAUUUGUGAGACAUUGCCCAAUUAGUUUAGGACCUUGCAGAAGCACGUACACAGAGACAUACUUUGUGUGUCCCUGUAAGAAAAAAUUCCCAAACUACAAAGGGCUGAAUUAUGUACAGCUAAUAAAGGCAAUUAAUUGUUUGAACCGUCUUGUUGCACUUUAUUUAUAUCCUAGAAAGGUUUUUAUAUAGUAGAAAUUUACAGUAUAGCAUAGUAAUUUACAGUUGAAUGUAACACAGAUAUUAAUGCAAAGAACAGGAACAAAGGAUACAGUUUAACAUCUGGAAAAAUCCUCUGAUUUUUUAUAGUGAAUGUAGCAGUUUCUGUCUGCUUCAUUUUACAAAUCUACUUAAGAGCAGGUGUUGGUGUUGUUGUCAAAUUCUCUAGUAAAAAUAAUAGCAGCUUAAAUAAGUACAGGUGUGGUUUUCAUGAUUAAUGAACUUUUGGAUCAUCUUAAACAGGAAAAUAUUCACUGUGGUAGAUGUUUAAACCACAGACAAAUAUAACUCCAUGUAUUUCAAGUUUUAGCUUUGUCUUUAUGCUUUAUCAGUUUGUACAGACUCCUAUAAAGUACAAAGACACAUCUGGUGAUGUAAUAUUUUGCAAGAAUGUGCCUGAGCAUGCAUCUAUCCAAAAUACUGAAAAAGCUCUCAGUGUGUUUCAAACAUCAGAAUUAUUUUUUAAAGAUUUUUUUUUUUUAUUAUAGAAAAAGGGAAUGUUUAAUUAUCUCUAGCCUUGGAGUCACACAUGGGAUGUUCAGCAGAUUUGUGCAAUUUGUUAGAGCAGCAGUUGUUUCUUAACUGAACGAAAUAUUGACACUGGCAAGUAAAGACAGGAUAGCAAGCAAUUCAGUCUCCCCCAAGGAAAAGAAACACCACAAUGCAGAGGCUUUAACUGAAAAUUAAAGCUUUGUGAAGUUUGCUUAGCUGGUUAUAAAAUAUGCUUCAGAGCUCCAGAGUGUCUGAAAACCAGGUUGAUUUAAUCAUAGACUCAGGGGCUUUAUUCCCAUGAGCAAGAGAAUUAAAGUUCAGCUGCUUUGUUGUGGGCUAAUGGUUAAUCCCAGGGUGGCUGGUACCGAGGGGCCUGAGCGAUGGGACUCGGGGUGAUGAAAGGUGCUUGACAGCCUGUUCCUUGCAUUUGUGCUGAACAAGGAGACAACAGGAACAAAAAAACCCAACCACGAAUCCUUCAGGGAGUUCAUCAGGUCAGAAUCAAGGAGUUAGGUUGUUUUUCUUGGCCACUAAAAGGUUUUGGUGGAAACUGGUUCUUGUAAGGAGUGCAGUGGCACAGUGGGAUAUGACAAACACCUAUGGGAUAUUUGUAUUGCUACUAGGGACAGCAGACAGGGACUUUGCCUAUGUCCCAGUCCUGUCUCUAAAGAAAUGUUAAGCUCCUCUGAAGAAUUUUUAAGUGGACUGUGUGUUAAAGACACCUUCAUAGAGGAGUGGGUAAGCAAGACAAAUUCCAUAUAAGUUAAGUGGAUACUUUGACAUUCAGAUCAGUGAGUUUACAGAGGUUGCAUCUUUGUGUGGCUGGGUUUAGCUUUUCUAAAAAGCUACCUGAUAAUCCCAGUCUCUGGUUUGGGUAGUCACUUCCGCUACUUUGAAGGCUGUUUAGAUGCUUAGAAGGUACUCAGGUGUUAACUUGAUUCAUUAUUUUUGAUAUUUUCUGGGCUGUAAAAGGUGAUACUGACCCUUCCUGUCCAUCCUUUUCACUUAGAAAAUCAAGAUAUACAUUGAACUGUUCCUUUAACUAAUUCCUCUCCAGAUAUCAGAAUAUCAUUUACAAAAUCCUUUUUCUUUGCUUUGCACCAUUUAAGAAUGAAAAUAAUUUAAGAUAAUUAAAAAUUUAAUAAUAAUUAAAAAUAAUUUAAAAAUAAUAAAAAAUAAAUUCCACAGCAUCAUAUAAUUUACAAUAGCUAUGAGGUCCUUAUACAAAAACUGGAAGUCAGCAGUGCAAAUAUCAGUUUAGUUAAAAGAAAGUUUAAGCAUUCUCCUACCUCUCUGCCAUAUUUUGUUUCCAGUGCCAUGUGGGAAGAAAAGAAGAGCCCUAGGCAGGUCUCUAACUUUCAGUGCUUAGGAGAAAGCAGCAUGAAAAGCACAUAAACACACAGAAUAUGCAUAGACACAGCAGUGAACCUGUUGAUAUAUGACAAACAUUUCUCAGUCUGCUGUUACUGUUUCCCUGGAAGGCACUAAAACAUUGAAAUGCCCUCUUCCAAGUAAGGAUCAAAUCAUAAUUUCCUAAAUGUUUCACACAGCCAAAUGCUUCACAAGUGUAUCCAUUUCAUCAGGAAUAAGCACCAGAACUCACCUCUUGGUGAUAAUUUUGCAUGACUGAUGCGGUGAUUUUGUAGGUCUUGUGUUGUAACAUAUUGACCAUACCUUUUGCAAAAUGAGAGAUGUUUCUCCAGGACUGGAGAGUUAGGUCCUUUGGUAGCAAGUGCUAUAUAAAGCUUUUCCUACUGCUGGAGAUCUUA